GGCGGAGGCUGCGUUCCCGGGCUGGUGGGCUGGAAGGCAGGCAGAGGCCGCCAUAUUCCCGCCUUACCACGCCCGGGGCGGCCGGCGGGCAGCCGCAGGUCGGCCGCGGCCUCAGCCCGUUGUAGCGGCCGCCGGCUGACAGGGCGCGUUGGAGACCCGGCCCCGCCCCGAACCCGGACGGGGGCGGCUGCGACCGCUACGCCUGCGGGCCCCGCCGAGGGCGCGGGAGAGGGAGGCGGCCGCAGAGCCGGAGGGGGCCGGCCCAGCCGGGGAGCCGCGCGGGCGAGGCGAGAGCCGCACUGGGAGGCGCGCCGCGGCGGCUGCGAGCCCAGGAAAGCCUUCCAGGAGGGGCCGGGCGGCACCGCCUCCCGGCUCCCCUCCUCCCGCGCUCGCUCCCUCCUCCUCCUCUUCCUCCACCUCCUCCUCCUCCUCCUCCCGCCGCCUCCGUCGCCUCCCUCCCGGAUCUGUGCUCCAGUUCAGAG
rnacentral:lncRNA from 1 species